AUCCGAUUUAGGGUCUAUGGAAUCUGAUUUAAGGUCCAUGGAAUCAGAUUUAUGGUCUAUGGAAUCUGACUUAGGGUCUAUGGAAUCUGACUUGGGGUCCAUGGAAUCUGAUUUAGGGUCUAUGGAAUCUGAUUUAGGGUCCGCGGAAUCUGAUUUAGGGUCUAUGGAAUCUGACUUGGGGGCCAUGGAAUCUGAUUUAGGGUCUAUGGAAUUUGAUUCAGGGUCUAUGGAAUCUGAUUUAGGGUCUAUGGAAUCUGAUUCAGGGUCUAUGGAAUCUGAUUUAGGGUCUAUGGAAUCUGAUAUAGGGUUCACGGAAUCUGAUUUAGGGUCUAUGGAAUCUGAUUUAGGGUCUAUGGAAUCUGAUUUAGGGUCUAUGGAAUCUGACUUGAGGUCCAUGGAAUCUGAUUGAACGUCUAUGGAAUCUGAUUUAGGGUCCAUGGAAUCUGAUUUAGAGUCUAUGGAAUCUGAUUUAGGGUCUAUGGAAUCUGAUUUAGGGUCUAUGGAAUCUCACUUGGGGUCCAUGGAAUCUGAUUUAACAUCUAUGGAAUCUGAUUUAGGGUCUAUGGAAUCUGAUUUAGGGUAUAUGGAAUCUGACUUAGGGUCUAUGGAAUCUGAUUUUUUCGAUGGAAUCUGAUUUAGGGUCUAUGGAAUCUGACUUAGGGUCUAUGGAAUCUGACUUAGGGUCUAUGGAAUCUGAUUUAGUGUCUAUGGAAUCCGAUUUAGGGUCCAUGGAAUCUGAUUUAGGGUCUAUGGAAUCUGAUUUAGGGUCUAUGGAAUCUGAUUUAGGGUCUAUGGAAUCUGACUUGGGUUCCAUGGAAUCUGAUUUAGCAUCUAUGGAAUCUGAUUUAGGGUCUAUGGAAUCUGAUUUAGGGUCUAUGGAAUCUGACUUAGGGUCUAUGGAAUCUGAUUUAGGGUCUAUGGAAUCUGACUUAGGGUCUAUGGAAUCUGACUUAGGGUCUAUGGAAUCUGAUUUAUGGUCUAUGGAAUCUGAUUUAGGGUCUAUGGAAUCUGACUUAGGGUCUAUGGAAUCUGACUUAGGGUCUAUGGAAUCUGAUUUAGUGUCUAUGGAAUCCGAUUUAGGGUCCAUGGAAUCUGAUUUAGGGUCUAUGGAGUCUGAUUUAGGGUCUAUGGAAUCUGAUUUAGGGUCUAUGGAAUCUGAUUUAGGGUCUAUGGAAUCUGAUUUAGGGUCUAUGGAAUCUGAUUUAGCGUCUAUGGAAUCUGAUUUAGGGUCUAUGGAAUCUGAUUUAGGGUCCAUGGAAUCUGAUUUGGAGUCUAUGGAAUCUGAUUUAGGGUCUAUGGAAUCCGAUUUAGGGUCUAUGGAAUCUGAAUUAGGGUCUA
rnacentral:lncRNA from 1 species